rnacentral:lncRNA from 1 species
AUGGAGAGGGAAAGCUCAUGCAUGGUAAUCCUGGGGAAAUGGUGUAAGCAAAGCAUCGAAGACAUUUAUCAAGAAACUCUGAGUAUCAACCAUCAAGCCUCAGGCCGAAGGGAGCUGGGAAUAUUUCAGGGCACAUUAACCACUGUUGUGCAACUGACAAUCAUUUCUACUGUUGAAGGAAAUUAUUUACAUCAUGGAGUCAGCCAAGCCAUUGUCUAUCUUGAAAGGGAGCCCAGUGUGUCCUUCCUGCAGUGCCUGUUGCUGUCUUCUUGA